ensembl:lncRNA
UUGCUAUUUCUUGGGCCGCUCCCGCGGCAUAUGGAGGUUCCCAGGCUAGGGGUUGAAUCGGAGCUGUAGCCACCGGCCUACGCCAGAGCCACAGCAACGUGGGAUCCGAGCCGCGUCUGCAACCUACACCACAGCUCACGGCAACGCCGGAUCGUUAACCCACUGAGCAAGGGCAGGGAUUGAACCCGCAACCUCAUGGUUCCUAGUCGGAUUCGUUAACCACUGCGCCACGACGGGAACUCCUGAUAGUGUUUUUUAUCGGCCACACCUGCGGCAUAUGGAAGUUCCUAGACCGGGGAUCGAAUACGUGUCUCUGCAGCAACCCCAAGCCACUGCAGUUGGAUUCUUUUUUCUCUCUUUUUGUUUUUGUUUUUGUUUUUUUUUUUUUGUUCUUUUUAGGGCUGUACUCGUGGCAUAUGGAGGCUCCCAGGCUAGGGAAAAUGCUUACAAGAAAAAUGUUAACAGUUCUCACAUAUAAGAACUCACAAAACAGGCAAGAAAAGUGUCAGACUCAAGAUACAUAGGCAAUGAAUACGAAGGAACAGACAAAAAGAAGAAACACAAAAGGCUAACAGAAAACCCACUAGAAACACAAAAGAUAACAGAAAACAAAUUUUCUAACUCAGGAAGAGCAAAGGAAUGAAAACGAUAAGAAAUGCCACUUUGGCCUUUCAAAAAGUAACACCACACCAUGCGAGGGGGAGUGCAAACCCGGAGAAUCCUGUCUGCUACCCAGGGAAGCUUAAACUGUGGAAACCUUUCUGGAAACCAAUGCAACACGGCAUCUCAGAACCAUUCAAACAUUCGCACCUUUCAAGUGGCAAUUCUACUUCUAUAAACCCAGCCUACAAGAUGAUUUCAACUGUAAUCAGAUCCUCAGUUACGGUCAUAAAAUAAAAAUUUUUGAAAUACCUUAAAUAGCCAAAAAUAUCAAAGAAUAUUACAUAUCCAUUAAAAUUAACUUUACAAAAUAUUUCUGAUUGCGGAAAUGCUUUCACAUACAGGGAAACAUUCAGGACAUAAACUGUCAUCCACAGCAGUACUGUGAUUACACAGAUAACAAACACUCCCCUAAGGUCAGAAGAGGGAAGUCGGCAAGAUGCUAUUUUUAAGAUGCAAGGAAUUCUAUUUUGUCUUUACUUUUCCGAUUUCCAAAUAGUCUGUUUUCAAUUUCCUGCAUUCGCCAAAGUCAUCAUCAGAAGAGGCACCUGUCUUAACUCUGGCGAACACAGAGUGUCUAAUGCUUACUCCGUGGAUGUCCAUCCCUGUGCUAAGCACUUUAACUUCUGUAUUUAAUCUCUAAGCAAUCGCUGAGGAUAUAGUGUGAUUGUCCCCUUUCUACAGAAAAGGCACCAAAAGGCCCGGUGCUCCCCCGAGGUCACACAGCCACUCGAGUGCACCCUGAGAUUCAAACCCAGCCCUGACUUCAGAACCCCAGUCUUAGCCCCUGUGUAAAAGUGACUGGGGCCUUGCAGCACUUCAGCCCUGCAAGUACCAGAACCACCCCAACGGCCCUGCCAGUCUGGUCAGUUAACACAUUUUAACCACGAAACCAAUUCAGCAGAAUAUCCAGACACAGAAGGAAAGUCCACAGACAUACAGAACAGACUUGUGGAUGACAAGGGGAAGGGGGGGCGGAGGAAGCCUGGAUUGGGAGUGUGGGACUAAGAGAUACAACUAUCACGGAGAGACCGGAUAAACAAGGUCCCACUGGGGAGCACAGGGAACUAAGUUCCAUAACCUGUGAUGAAAUGAAGCACGAUGAAAAGCAAAAAAGUCCCUGUUUAACCCAUCAACAAGUCCCCCAACGUAGGCAGUAUUUUCUUAUGAUUUGAAAGCAGCAUGUGUUCUGUCAGCUCUAAAGAGAGUAUAAAACUUUCACAGCAAAAGGCACUCAUCAGCAC